rnacentral:lncRNA from 1 species
GUUUGAAGGGCAGUGAUGUUGAUUGUCUCACUUUUGAUCCAUCCUCACUAAAACUUAUAGAUCUAAAUUUUCUUUUGGUUCCAUUGAUCUCUCUCUCGUUUGGUAUUGGACCUCUAACAAUAGGAUCGCUAUUGUGUAUAAAAGAUUGCUCACCCUCCAUGAUUACUCUUUCAGAAGACAAUCUAGGCUGCAAGAAUACAAUAAGUUAUAAACAUCAUUUAAAGAAUUACGUGUAAUGGAACUCAAAAAUAUCAAAUAUAUUCUUUACAUCAAUAGUGAUUUGGCCUGAGCUUAAUUAAGUCCACAUGACAACCAACUCUAGCACUUUGUUUUAAGGCCUUAUACUGCCUUCGUGGUACCCUUUUUUCUGGCCUACUCAUAGUUGAAGAGUGUGAGUUUUCAGCUAACUAGUACAAACUCAAAAAAAUAAGACAACAGAGUUAUCAUAUACUCAUUCAAAUAUAGCUAAAAUAUGACAAAGAAGUUAGCAUCCAUUAUUACCUGACUUAUUUCUUGUGGACAAUUUUUUUUUAUUGUGACCCGUCGUCUUGCAAAUACUGCAAUGUUGAAUCUGACCUUUCCUAGAGAGAGUAUUACUUGAUGAUUUGGGUUCAUUGGGUGCUCGCACUCUCUUCUUCCUAGGUCUGCCCGGUAGCUUUUCACCAGGGGGAGGCUCAAUUGAUGCAUGACCUUCUGUGUCCUAUGUCCCAGCAUGUAGUGUGUAUCACUCUUAAUUUCUUUAUUUUAUAAUUAUUUUUUAUAAAAAUUAAAAUUAUUAUUAUAUUAUGAAGUAUAAUUAAUAUUUAUCACUAAAAAUUGAAACUUAAAAAAUAAUAUAUCCUAAUUUUGAAUUAAUGAACCCAAAUAAUCUAUUAUUAAUUCACAUAAAUAUAAAGAAANAUUUUUUCUGGCCUACUCGUAGUUGAAGAGUUUGAGUUUCCAGCUAACUAGUACAAACUCAAAAAAUAAGACAACGAAGUUAUCAUAUACUCAUUCAAAUAUAGCUAAAAUAUGACAAAGAAGUUAGCAUCCAUUAUUACCUCACUUAUUUCUUGGGGACAACUUCUUUUAUUGUGACUCGUGCUCUUGCAAAUACUGCAACGUUGAAUCUGACCUUUCCUAGAGAGAGUGUUACCUGAUGAUUUGGGUUCAUUGGAUGCUCGCACUCUCUUCUUCCUAGGUCUGCCCGAUAGCAUUUCACCAGGGGGAGGCUCAAUUGAUGCAUGACCU